rnacentral:misc_RNA from 1 species
GAAAUGCGAUAAGUAAUGUGAAUUGCAGAAUUCAGUGAAUCAUCGAAUCUUUGAACGCACAUUGCGCCCGUCAGCAUUCUGGCGGGCAUGCCUGUUCGAGCGUCAUUUCAACCCUCAGGCCCCCCCUUUCGCGGGGAGGGACCUGGCGUUGGGGAUCGGCCCGCCCCCGCGGCGGCGCCGUCCCCGAAAUCUAGUGGCGGUCUCGCUGCAGCCUCCCCUGCGUAGUAGUUACAACCUCGCAUCGGAGCGCGGCGCGGCCACGCCGUAAAACCCCCGACUUUCUGAACGUUGACCUCGGAUCAGGUAGGAAUACCCGCUGAACUUAAGC